ACGUAAUUAAUAAUAUUUCCUUCUUUCUGUCUUACAGGAUUUUUUGCAGAUAAUCCUAAUGCUGUUCUUCUUUUUCAGGUCUAAAAUAUCAAGCUCAACAACUCACUCAAGAGCCAACCCUCACAAACCUUUUUAAAAACUAAGAGCUAUUACUGAGUCUCAGCGAAUCUUGCCAUGAUCAGCUCUUCCCAGAAGAGAAGGCAGACCAAGGAAAUGAUUUGCUCAGGAUGAGGAAUGAAGAUGGCCAUCUUGUGCUCAAACAAACAGAAGUCCUCUGAUGAUCUCAUCAGCCAAAUGAGGGGUUUUGACCAAGUGAUGCUCUUGAAAGGAGUGAAAGAAGAGGAUGUGCUAAAUUCUCUUCAGAGAAAAAGCUUCUCAAAAGGUCUCAAAACAGCUUGAAGAAUGGUCUGGGAUCUUAGGACUGAGAGAUCCUCUGGCUGAGAACAAGCUACACCACAUCAGUGCUGGAUAUCAGCCACAAACUGUUUCCAGACACGAGAGAAGAAGAACACGAUGGGGAGAUGAAACCAGUUUAGAUGUGGUGAUGGGAA